CGGUUGAUGAAUACAUCCCACUGUUCGUGGCGGCGCAACACGGCGUUGUUGGCCCGCGACUUGUUGUAUUCCAUCCAUUCGUUGACGAACUCUGUGAACUGGUAUAACUCAGUAGGCCUCAAAUAAUGUGUGACUACC
rnacentral:rRNA from 1 species